rnacentral:rRNA from 1 species
UACGGAGGGUGCAAGCGUUAUCCGGAUUCACUGGGCUUAAAGGGUGCGUAGGCGGGCAGGCAAGUCAGUGGUGAAAUCUCCGAGCUUAACUUGGAAACUGCCGUUGAUACUAUCUGUCUUGAAUAUUGUGGAGGUGAGCGGAAUAUGUCAUGUAGCGGUGAAAUGCUUAGAUAUGACAUAGAACACCAAUUGCGAAGGCAGCUCGCUACACAUAUAUUGACUCUGAGGCACGAAAGCGUGGGGAUCAAACAGG